AGUGAUUUAUAGGUUGUGAAUGGU
rnacentral:siRNA from 1 species